UGUAAUGAGGAACACUGGUGCAGCCCUCCCCCAGGAAGAUGGUCCCAUUUGUACAAAAGGAGGCUCCUGCUGGGCUGCUUUAUGAAUGUGGAGGCCUUCAGCCCUGAUUAAAUUGGGUAACCAGCUGUUUUCCAGAGCAGACGGAGAAAUCCUUGGAUUGGUGCCGUUCUUCUUCUCAGUGUUAGGAUGCUUGUAAUACAUGAAUGAAAACAUGGUGUAUAUUUCACUGUGGCCUUGCUGUAGGAAAAGCAAUCCUUCAGCUGCAUUAGAAACUUCUCUAACAGAGACAAGAAAGAAAAGCAAAGGGGUGAGCCUGAACAACUCUGCAGGAAGUUCUGCCGUGCUGGUUAAGGAGCAUCUGAUCCCAAACAGCUACAGAGCUGCCCCUUAGCCAGGCCCCAGCCGUGCUUUGUGCUCAUGGUCUGUGGAGCUGGGCUGUGCAUAAGGAAAUAAAGGAAGAAUGAGAGAAGAAGCCCCUUGAAAUGAGUAUAAGAAUGCUGGAGCUGAAAUCCGUUACAGCAGAGAUGAUGAAGCCUUCCAUGAGAAACUGACUGAUGAAUCAGGGCGUCUUUCAAUUGUCUGAAUAAUGAGCCCACUCUUCCCUCUUGCUGAGAAACAUAUGGGAUGUGAGGAAACCAGCUGGAAACCCAGCCACAGCUCUCGUUUAACAUCCCCUCUGCUAGAAGAAGGAAGGUGGUACCUUAUGAGAAAGGAUGGUUUGAGGGAAACCUGGGUAUUCAGUCAAAGCAAAUUCAGUCCUAUUGAGUCUUCUACCUCUUGACAUUUGUUCCUCUUGUAUCAGUUAUCAAUGGGAAUACCACAGAAAGCUGAGAUGCUCAUCCAACAGUGAUUAAUGCUGGCUGGUCUAUGGAAGUCAGUUCCACUUCUUUGUUUUGGUGUGCAUCAUCCUGGAACUUCUGACCUUGUGGAAAUGCCCCACCAGUCAUAUCUUUCAGAUCCUUGUGUUUGAGAAAGGCAUUUUUCAAGAGAGGAGAGGAGAUAUGAGGGAAAUAUCUUACCAUGACACAUCUUAAUAUUGAUUUUGUUGACCUUUCUUUCAUUCUGCUCAACAUCAGUAACUUCACUGUGUGUUCAGAACCGAGCCACCUCUGUGGGCAAAGCCCCUAGCAGCUGCCAUCCUCAGCAUCAGCCUUGGCGACAUGUAGGAUUCUGCUCACGUCUUGCUCUGAAGUCGAGGCAAGCUCAAACA